CCUACGGGUGGCAGCAGUGAGGAAUAUUGGUCAAUGGACGAGAGUCUGAACCAGCCAAGUAGCGUGAAGGAUGACUGCCCUAUGGGUUGUAAACUUCUUUUAUAAAGGAAUAAAGUGAGGCACGUGUGCCUCUUUGUAUGUACUUUAUGAAUAAGGAUCGGCUAACUCCGUGCCAGCAGCCGCGGUAAUACGGAGGAUCAGAGCGUUAUCCGGAUUUAUUGGGUUUAAAGGGAGCGUAGAUGGGUUGUUAAGUCAGUUGUGAAAGUUUGCGGCUCAACCGUAAAAUUGCAAUUGAUACUGGCAGUCGUGAGUACAGUUGAGGUAGGCGGAAUUCGUGGUGUAGCGGUGAAAUGCUUAGAUAUCACGAAGAACUCCGAUUGCGAAGGCAGCUUACUAAACUGCCACUGACAUUGAUGCUCGAAAGUGUGGGUAUCAAACAGGAUUAGAUACCCUUGUAGUC
rnacentral:rRNA from 1 species